GACGAACGCUGGCGGCGUGCCUAAUACAUGCAAGUUGAGCGCUGAAGGUUGGUACUUGUACCAACUGGAUGAGCAGCGAACGGGUGAGUAACGCGUGGGGAAUCUGCCUUUGAGCGGGGGACAACAUUUGGAAACGAAUGCUAAUACCGCAUAAAAACUUUAAACACAAGUUUUAAGUUUGAAAGAUGCAAUUGCAUCACUCAAAGAUGAUCCCGCGUUGUAUUAGCUAGUUGGUGAGGUAAAGGCUCACCAAGGCGAUGAUACAUAGCCGACCUGAGAGGGUGAUCGGCCACGUUGGGACUGAGACACGGCCCAAACGCCUACGGGAGGCAGCAGUAGGGAAUCUUCGGAAAUGGACGAAAGUCUGACCGAGCAACGCCGCGUGAGUGAAGAAGGUUUUCGGAUCGUAAAACUCUGUUGGUAGAGAAGAACGUUGGUGAGAGUGGAAAGCUCAUCAAGUGACGGUAACUACCCAGAAAGGGACGGCUAACUACGUG
rnacentral:rRNA from 1 species